AAUUGAUUCUGGGUAGUGAACGGACAUGUUACAACCGCGUUUUUGACUUAGACGAACUGCUGUCUAUUUGCGCAUCUUUCGAGCAGUAACCUGCACCGUUUAUUGAAAGGGGGCCUCAGUUUUGAGUGUCGUCCGCUGAACGUUGCUCUCUCGGCACAAAUCGACUUCAAAUAAAUUGGACGGCAGAUGGAUGGCGACGACAUAUUCAUAACUCUGCUGGUUGUCACACAGCUACAGUAUUAUUGAGGUAUACGUUAUAGGCUACAAGACCGAACCCUCGAUGAUAUGGCAUCAAGUCAGUGAGCACGCGCAAAGUACAAACUUCCCAGUCCCACCUACUGCACGUGACCUAAACAACAAAUAGCUACAGUACUAUUUGUAGAUUUGACAUUACGGACUUCC